GUUUCGGUCUUCCAUCAGGGUUUCCCCUGACUUCGACCUGAUCAAGUAUAGUUCACCAUCUUUCGGGUCACAGCAUAUAUGCUCAAGGUACGCUCUAGUUAGAGGUAUAUAUAACAUAAAUGCUAUUAUACAUAACUGUAUAGAACGCCCUGGGAUUGAAUAAAUAUUUCAAUAAUGAAAUAAAUACUAAUCCCAUAUAAAAAGUUAUGUUAAUUUUGCUUUUGGGUUUUAUAUUAAAAUCCCAAAAACUUGCACAUAUGUUAGACUCCUUGGUCCGUGUUUCAAGACGGGUCCCGAAGGUAUCCUGAAUCUUUCGCAUUGUAAAUCGUAUAAGUGCUUAUAAUGUAUUGCUACAUUAUAAAAUUCCAAAGGAAUUUAUGCACUAUACAUAUGAUUAAAUCUAUCAAUACUUUAUCAAAUCAAUGACUUUUAUUUCAUAUAAAUAAGCCAAGGCAAAUUCAUUGUAAUAAACUUAUGUCUUUGAUCUUAUGAUAAAUAUAUAUUAAUAGAUUACAAUGUCCAUUAUAUAGAGAAAGUGCACAAUAAUUUAUUAAUAAAAAUUAAUAUCUUAUUGUUGAAUUCUCUAUAUUUGGAUAUUCAGGUUCAUCGGGUUUAAUCUCUAAGCAGUUUCACGUACUAUUUAACUCUCUAUUCAGAGUUCUUUUCAACUUUCCCUCACGGUACUUGUUUACUAUCGGUCUCAUGGUUAUAUUUAGUUUUAGAUGGAGUUUACCACCCACUUAGUGCUGCACUAUCAAGCAACACGACUCUUUGGAAAUAUCAUCUAGUAAUCAUUAAUGUUAUACGGGCCUGACACCCUCUAUGGGUAUAUGGCCUCAUUUAAGAAGGACUUAAAUCAUUAAUUUCUCAUACUAGAUUAUUGAUAUUCCAUAC
rnacentral:rRNA from 1 species